UUUUUUUUUUUUUUUUUUUGGCUCCAUCUGUGGCAUGCAGAAGUUCCCAGGCCCAAGGAUUGAGCCUGAACCUGCACCACCGCAAUGACAAUGCCAGAUCCUUAACUGGCUAUGCCACACGGGAACUCCCUAGACCUGCAUUUCUGUGCUGAGAAAUAACUGAGUAUCUUCUAUCAAGCAGGCACAGUGUUGGGACUACACGAAUAUUAUCUCCUAUUGAUCAUUCUAAGAACUCUAGAAAAGACUUGUGCUCUGGUCUAUCCGGAGCACCACCAGAGGACUAACUCUAGUCCCCUUCACAGCCUCCAGUCUACUUUUCUUACUGUUAUACCAAGCACCAUGAAAUAGGACCACACUGUAGAGCGAGAGAGAAAAAAGUCCUGCAGCUAGAAAAUGGCAGAUGCUGUGGCAGGAACCCAGCACCUUGACUCCAAGAUCAACCUCUUUAUACUGUCAUUAUGCUGCCUGCAUGCAACUCUGACUUUUAUUCAUGUUUAGUGGAUAGUUCUCCACCUGCCAGUUACUUUCUUACUGUAACUUUUUUAAUAAGGAAAACCAUGUGAAGAAGCAAAGUAAAAAAACUAUCUAAUCCUUGGGAGUACAGUGGCAAUUAAGUAGCUGUUUAAAAAAAAAAAAAAAAGUGGUUUGAGAACAUGACGAGAAUUUCCGAGAACACUUCUACUGGUCACCUUUGCUCCAGCAUUAUCGUCCACUGAGAGAGGGAGGGGACCCUAUUUAAAAACAAGAAUACAAUUUUAUUCUUUCAGCAAAAUUUAUAAAGUCAGACAUCGAAUUUAUGAAGACAAAUAAACCUGUUUCUGUCCUCAAAGGGCUCAUAAUCCAAGAGGAGAACUAUACAUGCAGAUAAACUGCUGACAAUUUCAGGACUGGUGACAAUUUCAGGACUAGUGGCAGUGCCUAACUAGAAAGUUAGAAGACACACUUAAGGCACAAAGAGAGGACCGAGGAGAUCCAAGAUCCAGGUAAUACUAAGACAUCGGAACUUGAGUUUUGAAGAGUGGAUUAGUUCCCAAGGGCUUAGUUUGUGUCAGGCAGCGUGCUAAAUGAUUAUCUGGAUUAUCUAAUUAAAUUAUCAUUACAAGUUAGGAAAUAGCUAACUCCAUUUUACAGAUGAAUCCAGGUGGUUUAACAUAGAACUCAAAAUGCUAAAUAUUGCAGGGAGUUCCCAUCGUGGCGCAGUGGUUAAAUGAAUCUGACUAGGAACCAUGACGAUGUGGGUUCGAUCCCUGGCCUCGCUCAGUGGGUUAAGGAUCCGGCGUUGCCGUGAGCUGUGGUGUGGGUGACAGAUGUGGCUCGGAUCUGGCUCGGAUCCUGCAUUGAUGUAGCUGUGGUGUGCCAUCUACACCACAUUCUUAACCCACUGAGUGAGGCCAGGAAUCGAACCUGCAUCCUCAUAGAUGGGAACUUCAGUGACACAACGUUGAAUUUAGAAAGCCUGUAAAUACUAACUUUGCCACCAAACACUUUGAAAAGGGUCAAUUUAAGGAACACACCGAUAAAUCUUAACAUUAUGCCAAACCUCUGUUCCUAAACUGUUGUAUGACAACUGACUUUUCAUAAAUCAAAUCAUAUUUGGUAAGUACCACGUAAAAGGGAUCAUUUAAAGGCAGCUUUUAGUCAAUUCUUUCUGUAAAAUUCCUAAUUCUCCUAUCAUAACCACGACUUGUUUUGUAAUCUUAUACUUGCAAAAUAUCAAGUUUCUUAAAGCAGAGCACAACUGCUUGCAUAGGCCAAAUUCAUCCCAGCAUGGCGACCCUUCUCUCUCUUUCCCAGGUCUUAAAAAUGUCACCCUAAAACCCAGCUGUUCAUCUGUGGUAGAACAUACAGCACUAGAAAAGUUGAAAAAAGAAAGUAAGUGAAUUUUUAAAAUGUGAAAUAGAAAUGUGUGUAUUUCCCCAAAAGAGGUCAAUGGAUUAUUUUUGACAAUGAUCACAAUAAAUGCUCGAUUAAAAAAAAAUUAAGAUAUGCAUAUCUCAAAUGACUUUCCCCACAUGCCUCUGUCACCUGGAGGAAACUUCCAUAACUGUUUAUCUCCAUGAACACAUGACCUCCAUGAUGGCACCAAGGUCAAUGAGACAUACAGGAGGGAUAUGCUUAGCAAGUGCUGAUUUGCCCAGCUCUAUGGUUCUCUUCAAAAAGAAACAAGGAAGAACAGUAACAAUAACAAUUUAUGUAUAUAUUACAGAUUAUUUAUACAUUACAUAUUAUAGUUUAUGUUUUAAGUCUUAACAUUCAAGUACCCCAUUACAGGAUUCUGUAAAGACAUGUGCCAGCAAUAGCCAGAUAUAAAAGAGGGCAUCACAGGACACAACCAGGUACAAAAACUGCUGCACAGAAAGAAUUAACAAAAGUGCCAGACUGAAGACUCCCCCCUUACAUCUUAUACUGAAAAUCUAUGGUACCCUGGGUACAUGCUACAAAGACUCAAUUUCAAAGUGAGAGUUGUCUGUUGACAGAACUUUUUGAAAAUGACAAAUAGCCAAAGAUCCAUAAACAACAGAAGAGGCAACCCUCACAUCAGAAAUGCUUAGGUAAGGAGUAAGUCUGUUAUCUGCUGAGGCUGCCAGUUAACAUGAAAUUCACCAAGUGUCCUGGUGUCCCCUUACUCUUUACCAAAGACUCUAGACACUUCCUCCACUGUCACAAUCCUGCACCUUUCACAACCGGAAGUUUUCUUGGAUGAGAUUUAACCUCUAAACACAUCACCUUGGUAUAAUCUGUUUAAACUAGACAUACUCAAAAAAUUCCUUAUCAAGUCUGAAACGACUAUAUUUAAAAUUUCCAAAUAACUGUCAAAUAUAAAAAAGACAUCUGUCAGAGCUAGCACCUGAGAAGUUAAGAGCGAUUCAGUGGAGAGCAGUUCAACUAUGGGUAAUUCAUUCUAACGUUUGCUAAACAGACUGCAUGCAUUAUAACAGUGGAAAACGAAAGAGGGGGGAAAAAAUCGGCAGAAGCACUGGUUAUUCACAACCAGCGAGUCCUGGGCUGAGAGCAGUCUUCCAAGUUACUUCCAGAGAAGCUCCUGAUUGGUGGGCGGCCCUGGGUCAAUGUGAUUACUUAACCCUGGCAGUUAUAACUAAACUCCACUUUGACGGGCUCCAAAGCUUAUUACAAAAAGACGACUGCUUGAGCAUAUCAAGUACCUCGGUGUCCUGCUUCUAUUUUUCUCCCACAGAACCCGGAGCCUGACACCUGAAACUCAUCAGACAAAAACAUUACCUCGUUUCGGGGCUUUAGAGUUUUGUAUUUAUUACUCUGCAAGUCCACUGGGCAUAGAUUCAGUUGGGGGGUGGCGGUGUGAAAGAUUAACCCAUUUCCUGCAUACACAGGGAAGAACUCAUGACCAUUCAAGCAGUUCCCUCUCUUCCAAGUAACUUUUUUUUUUUUUUAAAUCAUUUAGUCCAAAAAUAACCAUAAGCAACAAACAUUAAACACUGGCAUGGCAACGUUCGCACACCAUG
rnacentral:lncRNA from 1 species